CCUUUGUACACUCAGGGGCUGGGAAAAUGACCACCAAGUGGGUCCCUGGCUACAAUAGGCCCAUUGUGAGAUGGACCCAGGCCAGGACCCCACUUAUGACCUGGUCCACAUGCACCCUUCCUCUACCGUAACUUGAUGGUCCUUGGAUCCCUGGCUAUCAAUGUCAAUUUGGACCCUCCAUGCGACAGCCCUUGAAAAAUCUGGGUAGCCUGCUGUGGAAUGUGCCACUCGUCUCUCUCUUCAGGAGAGAACCUGCCACGAGUCAGGGCCCCUGGCUGCCCUCCCAACCUUGCUGUCCUUUCCAGAAAUUGCACCCACCCUGCUUGUGACAGAUAAGUGCUAUCCUCUGGUCUCUGCUAUGGCAGAAUCCCAUUAUCUCCAUUGCUACUCAGGAGCUCAGUUCUGUAGCAACAUCUCCCAUUGUCAGGCCCAGCUUACAGAGGACAGCCACCCCCGGGCUUCUCGACGACGCUGCUGGGUCCUCCCCAGUCAAUUCCUUAUCACCGUGUUAAAGAGGUGGGCCCUCUUGAGGAACUUAGUCAGCUGGGGGGGUUCCAAUAUACCAGAGAAGACCCAUUCUAGCUUGCCCACUUCUCCAAACCUUUGCACACCUUCCUCCACGGUCGGCUACAGCUGUUCCAGCAUCUCCUUCACUGAAUGUCCACCAUCACUUCCUCCAAGGUUCUGAGAACCAUCUCCAAGGGCCCUUCCAGUGGCAGACCUGAGAAUCUUUCUGCAUUGCUGAACCCUUCCAUAUCCAGCUUGUAGCCAGCUUCCCGUGAUCAGGAAGCUUCAGAGUCCACUCCUAGAAAUAUUCUCCCCUUCUCCGCCAGUCCCUGCUGGUUUGCUCCUGUGGCUCCUCUGAGGUAUUGCACAAGCCAGGGCACCCCCGUCCACCUGAGCCCUGCCCCAGGUGACCAAGGUGGAAGCUGAGCAGCUGGGACCGCCCGCACGCCAGCCCCCACCAGUGGCGGGGCCUCAUCACAACUGGCCAGCACGGCAUCCAACACCAGACGCCCAUCCUUGGAGGCGGCUUCUGGGACCGCUCCGGAGACUCCCUGCCUUCGGAAGCAGCACCUGAGGCAGGGUUUGGGAGCAGGGACCUCCCAGCAGGGAUUUCGUCAGGGACAAACCCCUCAGAGGGAGAAGGAAGCAGGAGGAAGAGGAAAGGCCGAGCAGAGCAAGGAUGUGGUCUCAGGCUCAGCCCAGCCUUGGCCUGAGGCCCAAGUUGCCCCACAGACUCAACCACGUCUGGAGGCGAGG
rnacentral:lncRNA from 1 species